GUGCAGCAGGCGCGAAACCUUUACACUGCACGACAGUGCGAUAAGGGAAUCCCAAGUGCGUAGGCAUAGAGCCUACGCUUUUGUCUACCGUAGGGAGGUAGACGAAUAAGGGCUGGGCAAGACCGGUGCCAGCCGCCGCGGUAAUACCGGCAGCCCGAGUGAUGGCCGAUCUUAUUGAGCCUAAAGCGUCCGUAGCUGGCCGCGCAAGUCUAUCGGAAAAUCCACCCGCUCAACGGGUGGGCGUCCGGUAGAAACUGCGUGGCUUGGGACCGGAAGGCGCGACGGGUACGUCCGGGGUAGGAGUGAAAUCCUGUAAUCCUGGACGGACCGCCGAUGGCGAAAGCACGUCGCGAAGACGGAUCCGACAGUGAGGGACGAAAGCUAGGGUCUCGAACCGGAUUAGAUACCCGGGUAGUCCUAGCCGUAAACAAAUGCCUGUUAGGUGUGGCUCCCACUACGAGUGGGU
rnacentral:rRNA from 1 species